rnacentral:rRNA from 1 species
AUUGAACGCUGGCGGCAUGCCUUACACAUGCAAGUCGAACGGUAACAGGUCUUCGGAUGCUGACGAGUGGCGAACGGGUGAGUAAUACAUCGGAACGUGCCUAGUAGUGGGGGAUAACUACUCGAAAGAGUGGCUAAUACCGCAUGAGAUCUACGGAUGAAAGCAGGGGAUCGCAAGACCUUGUGCUCCUAGAGCGGUGGAUGGCAGAUUAGGUAGUUGGUGGGAUAAAAGCUUACCAAGCCGACGAUCGGUAGCUGGUCUGAGAGGACGAUCAGCCACACUGGGACUGAGACACGGCCCAGACUCCUGCGGGAGGCAGCAGUGGGGAAUUUUGGACAAUGGGCGAAAGCCUGAUCCAGCAAUGCCGCGUGCAGGAUGAAGGCCUUCGGGUUGUAAACUGCUUUUGUACGGAACGAAAAGCCCCGGGUUAAUACCCUGGGGUCAUGACGGUACCGUAAGAAUAAGCACCGGCUAACUACGUGCCAGCCGCCGCGGUAA